rnacentral:rRNA from 1 species
AUUGAACGCUGGCGGCAGGCCUAACACAUGCAAGUCGAACGAGUGGCGGACGGGAGCGUAAUGUCUGAGAACCUGCCUGAUGGAGGGGGAUCACUACUGGAAACGGUAGCUAAUACCGCAUAACAGCGGAUGUGCCAAGAUGGGAUUAGAUAGUAGGUGGGGGAAAGGCUCACCUAGGCGACGAUCCCUAGCUUGUCUGAGAGGAUGACCAGCAACACUGGAACUGAGACACGGUCCAGACUCCUACGGGAGGCAGCAGUGGGGAAUAUUGCACAAUGGGCGCAAGCCUGAUGCAGCCAUGCCGCGUGUAUGAAGAAGGCCGUCGGGUUGUAAAGUACUUUCAGCGGGGAGGCGUUACCCGCAGAAGAAGCACCGGCUAACUCCGUGCCAGCAGCCGCGGUAAUAC